AGAUCGUUGACUGUGCUGUUAAUAGGCUUGAUAAACAGAUUAUUGUGGUUCAGCGUGACGUCGCCCUUCGCGGUUGUCAUUUCGCCAUCAAGCGGAAUGUCGAGAUGUAAGCGAGCAUUCACCUCGCCGUCGAGUUGCAACUCAUCAAGCGCAGUCGACAGCGUCUCUUUCAGCGGGGUAUCUUUGAAAUAGGGACCCACGGCUUUGCCUGGCCCUUUAACAUCGGCAUCGAUCAACAACUUCUCUUUGAGAUAAUCCGGGAUAGUGGCCGACAGGUUAGUGGCCUUUACGCCGCCUAACGCCACCUCAUCGGUCUUCAUCCAUAACCCAUCGUUGAUAAAAUCGAGCUCGAUAUCAAAAUUCUUCAGCGCGGGCCAGUCGGGCUGGAAGGCAAAGGUCGCGU
rnacentral:ncRNA from 1 species